GUGACAGGCUUCCUCUGAUCUCCUGACAGAUCCCAGCAGGAAUCCAGGGUGACCAGAGGAUCCGCCUGUCUGGGAAGGGGAUCCCGCGGGUGAACAGCUACGGAUAUGGAGAUCACUACGUCCACAUCAAGAUCCGAGUCCCCAAGAGACUGACAGACAGACAGCGCUCUCUGAUCACGAGCUAUGCUGAGGAUGAGACGGACGUGGAAGGCACGGUGAACGGAGUCACCGACACUGCUGCUGGUGGGGGAGCCAAGGGGCAGCGGUCAGAGGCAAGGCAAGAAAGCCCUGAGGAGGGGCAGGACAAGGAGGAGGGGUUCUUCUCCAAACUAAAGCGAAUGUUUAGCUCCUGACAGCCCCAGUAGAGGGAAGCGGUACACUGGGAACUAGACUGUAGGGAGCAGGAAGCCCUUUCUGGUAUGAGUCGACCCAGCCACACUGCUCUGAGCAGAGUCGAACUACAGUACUGCUCGCUGACACCUGAAGAGGUGACCCCAAAAUCUAUCUAGAGGUGUCCACAAAUCUAUACCUGCAGAAAAGCUUCUUUACUGUACUUCACCUGACACCAUACGUGUACAUUUCCAUAAUGUACUGUAGUAUUUUUGGAAUGUACAGAACGGAGUUGACUCUUGGUGGGAGAUUUCUCUAUUUUGAGUUUGGAAGAGUAUAUUAAAAUAGUUUUCUGUUGGCCCUGCUAAUUGGAUGUCUCCCUGUAGCUGUGGCAAGUUCUAUUUAUCUUUCUUUUAGAAUGAUAGCUUUAUUGGAACAGAGUAUGUUUGAGGUUCAGGUGCCAGUGUAUUUUGCAUUCCAGAAAGCAAUGCAAAUUUAAAAUAUAUACUUUAGGUCCUGACGUGGAUGUCCCAGCAAAGGAUUUAGUCGCAGACGCAGCACGUGGAAGAGAAUGUCACAUCAAUGCGACGCGCAAUACAGGUUGUCGGAGUAGUUGUGUUUAAUAUCCCAGUUUCUCUGGUGUCUGUACCGUGUGAUGGGGUGUAAGAUAUAACGUUUGAUCACAUUUGGAAGCAUGUCUCCCAAGAUCAAGACAGGGUUCCUUUAUAAGUAGGUCAUUGUGACUUUGCUUUGUGUAGUUUAGGGAACCUGUCCAAGUAUGAAAAUGGGAUGAAUGGUUCCUAAGCUAUAACUUAGUUGAGUUUGACACCCUUUAUAAAAAUUACCUUAUGAAUAAUGCCAGUACUCUUCAGACAGUCAGGGUUGCAUGUGGUAUGUAGAGAGGUGUCUACAGGUAAAGUAAAUAAAUUCAGAUGACAUCCUAGUCCAUGCAUUAUCGAUUAAUGUGUCUAUAUAUAUAUAUAUAUAAAUAUAUAUAUAUAUAUAUAUAUGUUGGCAAUGAGAACACAAUCCAGAUUCUUCUUGUGUCAUUUGGGUGUUUCAUUGCCAUCUGCCCUUGUGUACACAUACAUGCAUGUUCUAAUUUAAUUAUAAUAAAAAAAGAAAUCUGUUAUGUA